rnacentral:rRNA from 1 species
GACGAACGCUGGCGGCGUGCUUAACACAUGCCAGUCGAACGGAAAGGCCCUGCUUUUGUGGGGUGCUCGAGUGGCGAACGGGUGAGUAACACGUGAGUAACCUGCCCUUGACUUUGGGAUAACUUCAGGAAACUGGGGCUAAUACCGGAUAGGAGCUCCUGCUGCAUGGUGGGGGUUGGAAAGUUUCGGCGGUUGGGGAUGGACUCGCGGCUUAUCAGCUUGUUGGUGGGGUAGUGGCUUACCAAGGCUUUGACGGGUAGCCGGCCUGAGAGGGUGACCGGCCACAUUGGGACUGAGAUACGGCCCAGACUCCUAGGGGAGGCAGCAGUGGGGAAUAUUGCACAAUGGGCGGAAGCCUGAUGCAGCAACGCCGCGUGCGGGAUGACGGCCUUCGGGUUGUAAACCGCUUUCGCCUGUGACGAAGCGUGAGUGACGGUAAUGGGUAAAGAAGCACCGGCUAACUACGUG